UAUCCAUCAAGGUAUGAAGGAGAUUUAGUAUCCAAGUUCUAUUUUGCUAAGCGAAAGCUUGUAUGGGAGAUCCUUGAAGGUGGUCUCAAGAGUAAGAUUAAAAUCCAAUGGUUUGAUAUCACAGCUCUGAAGGCAACUUCUCCCGAAAAUGGUCUGGGGACUUUUGAUUUAGUGCUGGUAGGCAACCUCUUUUUUUAGGGAAACUAAUCCACAACCUAGAAAGCACACUCUGGGGCAAGCUACUUCAGACUUCAUAGAGGGCAAGCAAGCAUACACAAGUAGAAGAGAUAUAUUGUUCUUUCUUAUGUUCACCAAUUGAUAUCCACUAGUAGAGGUGUAAUCGAGUCGAGCCGAACUCUUGGAUGUUUGAGUUUGACUCGUUUAUAAUCGAACCGAGCGUGAGCUUUAUUUAACGAAUA